AAAGUGCUCGGGAAGGCUAUAACCACACAAAACAAGGCCCAUUGGGCCAGCAGAAUUUCUAGCGCAGGCCGAGGCUGCAGGUUGGUAUAGGAAUCGAGACGCUCUGCAACUAUCACGAGAUUCAACCACGUGGACCAACUGCGGCCUGAUCAAAUUUUCCCUCGCUAAUUUUUCACACACCCAAAUAUUCCUGGACCCACCGCACCAAAAAAAAUAAAAAAUCCCGCGGGAUGCAGAUUCGUUCGCAGGAGAAAGAAGUGAAAAGAAAAAUCAGAAUCGCAAAGCAAACUUUCCUUGUUCCUUCAACCAACCACUCAACGAUUCGGUUACAGGAUCUUGUUACGCCGAGAAUUUGUGAGCGCUUUUCUCUCUUAAUCCACACUCUCGCAACUUGUUCGACCAUGUUACUGAGUCAAUAAUAAUCAAAAUUCAUUUCCCUCUUUUGUUAGAGUGAGUGAGUGAUCGAAGACUCAAAGCUAGUAGCUUCCAAUCAUGGAUUCUCUCACCCCGGUUUCUCCAUCUAUUGUUCUCCCUCUCCCUCUACGACGUCGUCGAGUCUUAACUCCAUCAUCUUUCUCCGCUCAUAACCACCGUCCUCUUCCUCCUCGGCUUUCUUCUCUCUCUGGAAUUUUCCACAAGGAGACGAUUUUCUUGUAAAUUAGCGAGCGGUAGUGGAGAUGGAGAUAAAAAAGAAGAGGAUCACAACAACGAUGAUGGAAGUGAGGAAGUGGAGAGAGCGUUUCAUUUAGACGGCACAGUUCCAGGGACUUCAAAUGAGAUUGUGAAGAAGGUGUCGUCUCGUGCUUAUGAUAUGCGUAGACAUCUUCAACAGAGUUUUGAUAGUAGCAGCUAUGAUGGUAGUUACCUUCCUGAUUAGUUCUGCCGUGUAGUUCUUCCUUAUAUAUUCUGCCAACAAAGUUGAUUCUAGCUAGCUUGCUAACUUAUAACUGGUUUCUCUGAGACUUCUCUCCGUCCCUUUUGCUUUCAGUUCUUUUCCGGCGCAUGUUAAUUGGUUAAUUGCUACUGCAUGCGUGUUUUCUUGAUUAGUGUGUUUUAAGUGUUUUAGACUCGAGAAUUAAGCAUUACAUCACAGUUUUUUGGAUUCUGAAGCUCAUUUUCGUUGCUCUAGUUUUUUUGAAUGAUGUCUCAUUUUGCAUUUCUAAUGAAAAAAGAAAACAGAGGUUUAGUUAUUGAACAACAACCAAGCCUCAACAGAGAACUAGUUUUCUUUUGUUCUUGUGAAGUAAAGAAUUUAGGAAUGUUGACAAAUUUGUAGGCAUUCUAUAACUUCUUGCUUCAUUGAGAUCGAGUGAAGUGAUGUAUUUUCUGCAUACCGAACUUGGUUUUUGAGGGAGGUGCUUUGGCCUCUACUUCUUCUGUUUUUGUGGGAGAGGUGCUUCCGCUCUGCUGCUGAAUGACUUAACUCAAUCUUCAGUAGCUGCCUGCCUGUAUAUGAAAGAGUUGCAAUUGGAAAUGUGGCACUGAUCAGCGAGCAGUCUACCUUGGCCUCAAGUCAUGGACUUCACGAGUUCAUUAUAUUUUAGCAGCCUUUUGCAGCUAUCCUUUCUCUAUCACAUUACAAAAAUUAAGAAAAAUAGAAAAAAAUAAAAAUCUUCUUCCUUUAAUUGGUGAUAUCAGCUUAAUUGAUGAUGCUACCUGAUGAUCUCCAAGCUAAACUGGGGUGUUAGCUCGUAUUAAUCAACGUACUUGAUAAUUCUUCUUCGUGUUGUUGUUCUUUUGAGAUGGUAUUUCUUUCACAUACUUUAAUUAAUAGAAUAAGACAGGUGGUUCUGUUUCCUGGACAUUGACCAUGAAAUUGAUGUAUAGAAUUUCCAAUUUAAGAAACCAUCCUAAAUGUGUGCUGGUGUUGGACUGGAUACACUCUUUUAGCAUUAAAAUUACAUCUAAGAUAAAUAGUGUGUUUGUUUGGUGCACAAAAUCAAGCAAUCACUUUGCGUACGUGUUGUGUUGUGCAACUCUGAAAUUGGCAUUCCCUAAAGCAUGCGAGAGCAAUUGUCAAUUUUGUCUUUCUUUCAUUUUAACCAUACCUCUGACUUGAGUCUUAGUCUUCAUUUCUAGCACAUAGUUCUCAGUGUCUGUAAUCACUGCUCUCAUCAGUUUGCUUGAAUUUGAGUAUUUCAUGUAUUCAAUUAUAUUUGAUUCUCAUUGAUGUCUGAGGGUUGUUUACAGAUACUUGAUUGCUUUUAUCUGAUGAGUGAGUGUUUUUGGAAGCACAACUCCCUUAAUGAGAGUGGGACCGAAGGCCAGUUGGUAAAUGGAUACAUUAGUACAUUCUUACGUAUUGCUUGGAGUAAAUCUGCAGUUGUAUUGAUUUAUGAAGUCCUUUAUUUGCUUUUUUCACAAAGCUUCACCAAAUUUCUCUCUUAUCGUUCUUAUUCAGUUCUGGAUGCCAAUCCAUGGAGAGAAACCUCAAAGCUAGUGUAUGUACUCACUUUUAAGAGAAAACCAGUUGUGCAUGAGGAAAACUCGAAGAAAUCACAGGCUUAAGUUGUUUUAGUACCUUUUGUAUUCUCCUGAGUAAAGGUUAGAAUUGUCCGAGCCCAAACUCGGGUUUUGCUUUUGAAUUAGUGAAGUUGAGAAGGUGCUUGGGCUACUUUUUUCCAAAGGAGGAAAGUGGACUUCGGAAAUAGGAAGUCAGGCUAAACAGUCGAGGAGAGGGACAAAGUUCCAGAUGCUUGUGGAGGAUGUUAGGGAGGGAGUGCUUGUAAAUGUCCGAUUAUUUUACUUGUUGAAUUUUCUGCAAUGCUAACCAAAUGCUUUAGCAAGAUUAGCGUAAGAUUGGUCGUGCCUGAAUGCAUUUAAGCCAACUGCUAGUAUCACUGAACUUCUUAGGUGGCCCUUUUUGUUUCUAUCACGGGGUAUGUCAUUUCAAAUUAUUCCUUACAUGUUCGUUGUUCAAACUUUAAGAGUGUGCCAGCACAAGUUAUGGUAACAACUAUCAAGUCCUCACUUCUACCCCCCUGAUCAGAUGCUUUGGAAACUAGGAUAACCUUGCAUGCCACUUCCUGUGAAUUGUUGUUUCAGGUCUCCUUAUUUAUUUAAGAUUCCACUGAGUCUCUGGUUGCUUAGCCAAAGAUACAAACUGUUCACUCUUGCUGCAGGUUUUUGAAGAUGAAAAUGAAGCAGCGGAAGAGGUCAAGGUUGUGAAGGUGUUGCUGAAAUCGAAGCCUCAUCAGUAAGAGUCUUGAGCAGACUUUCAAUCCCACCAAAAUCUUGUUUCAGCUUAUAGAUAAGGAAACCUCCUCUGCCUCAAAGCCUUGAGCUUAACUUGAGGGCUCGUAAGCGGUCCCUUGAAGACCAAGAGGACUUGGUGUGAAUCUGAGGUGGUUAGGAAUGGGAUCUUACUCUAGGGAAUCAGAAGAUUGGAAGUAAAUAAUAAAUGUUGUAUUGUACAUCAACGACUGCAAUUUAUGUACAGGAACAUGGUUUACAUGUUGUCAUUUCUUUUUCAAUCUAUAUAGAAAGAAGUUGAAAUUCAAAA